rnacentral:pre_miRNA from 1 species
CUAAUACAGUUUACAAUGCACGAUGCAUCGCCUCAGUUAUGUGUACAGAAAAUUUUGGGGCAACGUCCGAGUGUUCUAGACAGUAUACA